rnacentral:rRNA from 1 species
GUGGGGAAUAUUGGACAAUGGGCGCAAGCCUGAUCCAGCCAUGCCGCGUGAGUGAUGAAGGCCUUAGGGUUGUAAAGCUCUUUCAGUGGGGACGAUAAUGACGGUACCCACAGAAGAAGCCCCGGCUAACUUCGUGCCAGCAGCCGCGGUAAUACGAAGGGGGCUAGCGUUGUUCGAAUUUACUGGGCGUAAAGCGCACGUAGGCGGAUCGUUAAGUCGGGGGUGAAAUCCUGGAGCUCAACUCCAGAACUGCCUUCGAUACUGGCGAUCUUGAGUCCGGAAGAGGUGAGUGGAACUCCUAGUGUAGAGGUGGAAUUCGUAGAUAUUAGGAAGAACACCAGUGGCGAAGGCGGCUCACUGGUCCGGUACUGACGCUGAGGUGCGAAAGCGUGGGGAGCAAACAGGAUUAGAAACCCUGGUAGUCC